rnacentral:rRNA from 1 species
GAUGAACGCUAGCUACAGGCUUAACACAUGCAAGUCGCGGGGCAGCAUGGGGGUUGCUUGCAAUCCCCGAUGGCAACCGGCGCACGGGUGAGUAACGCGUAUCCAACCUGCCCUUCACCACGGGAUAACCCGGCGAAAGUCGGACUAAUACCGUAUGUUGUCCAUUGACGGCAUCCGAUUUGGACGAAAGGUUUGGCGGUGAAGGAUGGGGAUGCGUCCGAUUAGCUGGACGGCGGGGUGACGGCCCACCGUGGCGACGAUCGGUAGGGGUUCUGAGAGGAAGGUCCCCCACACUGGAACUGAGACACGGUCCAGACUCCUACGGGAGGCAGCAGUGAGGAAUAUUGGUCAAUGGGCGUAAGCCUGAACCAGCCAAGUAGCGUGCAGGAUGACGGCCCUAUGGGUUGUAAACUGCUUUUAUGCGGGGAUAAAGUGGCCCACGUGUGGGUUUUUGCAGGUACCGCAUGAAUAAGGACCGGCUAAUUCCGUG